rnacentral:lncRNA from 1 species
CUACAAACCAGUCACCUAAGCAUUCCAUGUUGAAGUAGUUGAUAUGCAAGUGCAUCAAGCUAUGUUUAAGGGAUAUGGUAGAUAGCAUAUUGGUCACCUGCAUAUAAUUUUUGUGGUUCUUUACGGUACAAAUAAGUGAGCAUUAUCUCUUGAUUUGAACAUAUUUAGAUAUUUAGUAGCUACAUUAUUAUGCCCCUGAUCCGAGAUCGCG